UACGUAGGUGGCAAGCGUUAUCCGGAUUUACUGGGUGUAAAGGGCGUGUAGGCGGGACUGCAAGUCAGAUGUGAAAAUUAUGGGCUCAACCCAUAACCUGCAUUUGAAACUGUAGUUCUUGAGUGAUGGAGAGGCAGGCGGAAUGCGUGGUGUAGCGGUGAAAUGCAUAGAUAUCACGCAGAACUCCGAUUGCGAAGGCAGCAUACCGGCGCCCAACUGACGCUGAAGCACGAAAGCGUGGGUAUCGAACAGG
rnacentral:rRNA from 1 species